rnacentral:rRNA from 1 species
GUGCCAGCAGCCGCGGUAAUACGGGGGGGGCAAGCGUUGUUCGGAAUUACUGGGCGUAAAGGGCGCGUAGGCGGCCUUCUAAGUCGGACGUGAAAUCCCUCGGCUUAACCGAGGAACUGCGUCCGAUACUGAAAGGCUUGAAUCCGGGAGAGGGAUGUGGAAUUCCAGGUGUAGCGGUGAAAUGCGUAGAUAUCUGGAGGAACACCGGUGGCGAAGGCGGCAUCCUGGACCGGUAUUGACGCUGAGGCGCGAAAGCUAGGGGAGCAAACGGGAUUAGAUACCCCAGUAGUCC